UGAGCAUGAAGAAAAACUGAAGAUUUGUACUUCGGUAUUUUGUUUACAAGCCAGUUUAUUCCGAAAUGGAUAUUCUAAAGUGUCUGACGUGGAAUAAGGGAGUGUGUCCUGCAGAGAGACGUUCCAAAUAUAAAGUAAGAAAGAUGAGGACUCCUGUUCUUGGACUGUUCCAGGACCAGUGCCGUGUGAUGGGCUUCACACGUCUGAGCUCACUUCACCAUUAGUGUAACCUGUAAGACAGUGGUUACUCCAUCAGCCUGGAUUCCAGAGAGAUAAGACAUGGAGCUAAACCUCUAGACAACAUGUACUGGACAUGCAGUGUGAGAUUAAAUAAAUAAAACAUUAUGAGGUGCCCAGAUUUUGGAAUCGUUAGCAUGCCCUAACACAUCCUGCCUCAUAUACCACCAAAUAGAGAGCGAGGUGUUUCAGAAUACAUUUUCCCAGAGCUGUGUUUAUUGUUUGAGCUCCCCUUCUCUCCCCACCGAAAUCAGCUAGCCCCGGGAGGGGCAGUCCUUCCCCAGGCAGGAAGACUUUUUUUAAGAUGUCAAAGCAUCAUAAUAUAUAGAAAAUUAAACACACACCAUACACCGUGGAUAAACCAAUCUCACUGCCAAGGAGGCAGGGAUGCAUAUGCUUUCUGCAGGAGGCCCUGAAAAGUUACAUAGUAUUAGGUGGUGGAGGGGCUGUUAAUCCAAAUGCAGAGAAGGGGAGCAAAUAUGUAGGAACAAGAGGUCAGCUAUAUCGCCACAGAUACCAACAAUUCACAAAAGCGUACAUAAGAACAGCCCAAGUUGCAAAAAAUGCAAAUUAAUAAAAGGGUAAUUUCUGGUGCAGAUGGGGAAUCACUGUUUUAACUUCUCUGAUGAUAAUUUGACCUUAAAUAUUACGAGUUUUACUCCCAGGAUUUCAUCUCAGAAGUUCAGCAUAAAUUGCAAUGAAUUAAAAAAAGUUGCCACCUUCACCACAGCAUGGCUUAUAAAAGCACCACACUGGAUAGAUUUUCAAUAUCCCAUAGAAUUGUUGGGAAUUGCUGAAAUAUGUUACAGCAUCCCCAUAUAAUAAAAUAUUUUAAUGCCAUUAAAAAUUACAGUCUGAAAUUCCAUUUAUGAAAUACAUCAGUUGAGAGAGACAGUCCAUUUUGUGAAGUAACACAGCUGAAUGAAUCAAUG